rnacentral:rRNA from 1 species
GAUGAACGCUGGCGGCGCGCCUAAUACAUGCAAGUCGAGCGAACAGAUAAGGAGCUUGCUCCUUUGACGUUAGCGGCGGACGGGUGAGUAACACGUGGAUAACCUACCUAUAAGACUGGGAUAACUUCGGGAAACUGGAGCUAAUACCGGAUAACAUAUUGCACCGCACGGUUCUAUAGUGAAAGGCGGCUUUGCUGUCACUUAUAGAUGGAUCCACGACGUAUUAGCUAGUUGGUAAGGUAACGGCUUACCAAGGCAACGAUACGUAGCCGACCUGAGAGGGUGAUCGGCCAAACUGGAACUGAGACACGGUCCAGACUCCUACGGGAGGCAGCAGUAGAGAAUCUUCCGCAAUGGGCGAAAGCCUGACGGAGCAACGCCGCGUGAGUGAUGAAGGUCUUCGGAUCGUAAAACUCUGUUAUCAGGGAAGAACAAAUGUGUAAGUAACUGUGCACAUCUUGACGGUACCUGAUCAGAAAGCCACGGCUAACUACGUG